UGGGGGUGGCUUGUGUAUUUACGCUGCUGUGGUAGUGUCCGGCUAUACCCCGCACUGAAGCGGGAAGUGAGAACCCCGCCUUUCGUGGCGGGGUUUUGCUUUUAU
rfam:Pseudomonas fuscovaginae strain IRRI 6609 Pf_IRRI_6609_contig_15.15, whole genome shotgun sequence.